GAUGAAGAACGUAGCGAAACGCGAAAGGUAAUGCGAAUUGCAGAAUCAGUGAGUCAUCGAAUCUUUGAACGCAUAUUGCGCUCUCUGGUAUUCCGGAGAGCAUGCUUGUUUGAGUAUCAGUAAACACCUCAACUCCCUUUUCUUUUUUGAAAUUGGAGCUGGACUUGAGUGAUCCCAACGCUUUCUUCCAAGAAAGUGGCGGGUUGCUUGAAAUGCAGGUGCAGCUGAACUUUUCUCUGAGCUAUAAGCAUAUCUAUUUAGUCUGCCUAAAAAACAGAUUAUUACCUUUGCUGCAGCUAACAUAAAGGAGACUAGUUCUUGUGCUGACUGAUGCAGGAUUCACAGAGACAGCUUCGGCUGACUUUGUAAACUCGAUCUCAAAUCAAGUAAGACUACCCGCUGAACUUAAGCAUAUCAAUAAGCGGAGGA
rnacentral:misc_RNA from 1 species